UACGAAGGGGGCUAGCGUUGCUCGGAAUCACUGGGCGUAAAGCGCACGUAGGCGGAUUGCUAAGUCAGGGGUGAAAUCCUGGAGCUCAACUCCAGAACUGCCUUUGAUACUGGCGACCUUGAGUCCGGGAGAGGUGAGUGGAACUGCGAGUGUAGAGGUGAAAUUCGUAGAUAUUCGCAAGAACACCAGUGGCGAAGGCGGCUCACUGGACCGGAACUGACGCUGAGGCGCGAAAGCGUGGGGAGCAAACAGG
rnacentral:rRNA from 1 species